rnacentral:tRNA from 1 species
GGCCCGUUCAUCUAGCGGCUAGGAUGCAUGAUUUUCAGUCAUGAAACGGGGGUUCGAUUCCCCCACGGGUCA